rnacentral:rRNA from 1 species
AGUGAACGCUGGCGGUAGGCCUAACACAUGCAAGUCGAACGGCAGCACAGUAAGAGCUUGCUCUUACGGGUGGCGAGUGGCGGACGGGUGAGGAAUACAUCGGAAUCUACUUUUUCGUGGGGGAUAACGUAGGGAAACUUACGCUAAUACCGCAUACGACCUACGGGUGAAAGCAGGGGAUCUUCGGACCUUGCGCGAUUGAAUGAGCCGAUGUCGGAUUGGCUAGUUGGCGGGGUAAAGGCCCACCAAGGCGGCGAUCCGUAGCUGGUCUGAGAGGCUGAUCAGCCACAUGGGAGCUUGGACACGGUCCAGACUCCUGCGGGAGGGAGCAGUGUGGAAUAUUGGACAAUGGGCGCAAGCCUGAUCCAGCCAUACCGCGUGGGUGAAGAAGGCCUUCGGGUUGUAAAGCCCUUUUGUUGGGAAAGAAAAGCAGCAGGUUAAUACCCCGCUGUUCUGACGGUACCCAAAGAAUAAGCACCGGCUAACUUCGUG